AACAUGACUCUCGGCAACGGAUAUCUCGGCUCUCGCAUCGAUGAAGAACGUAGCAAAAUGCGAUACCUGGUGUGAAUUGCAGAAUCCCGUGAACCAUCGAGUUUUUGAACGCAAGUUGCGCCCGAGGCCUUUUGGUCAAGGGCACGUCUGCCUGGGCGUCACGC
rnacentral:rRNA from 1 species